AUUGCGCAUGUGCAGUGAGAGCAAGCAAUUACACUAGAGCGCUAUUGAAAUCAAAUGUGGGUCCAACGUUACUUUGGAUUGACAUGAGGAUGUUAGCUUCUACCUAGCUGAAUACCAGUGCUCUCAGAACCACGUUGUGGAGUUGAUGAUAACGUUAUUUGAAGCUGCAGUAUGGGUGAGAUGAGGAUCUACUGUUCCAUGUGGGUUAGGGUAUCACGUGGACAGUGUGUUUAAAGCAGAGCCACUACUGUUUAUUCAUUUCACUUUGUACUUAUUGUACUCAGAUUGUUUUAUGCACUUUACUAACAGAUUUAUUUCACUUGAUUGUGAUUUAGACUGAACUUUAUUUUAUGGUGACUUCAUCUUGUGGUGAUUUCCCUUAUACAUGAUCCUUUUUAAAUUUAAGCUUUGACAGAAUAAACAACCCUAAUUAGUUUGUGUCCUGUGCUGGGUUUACUUUCGCCAGGCUACACAUUUUGGUACCAGGAGUGGGGUUUUGAUAGCUUUGUUAGGGUAGUGAAGUGCAUAAUUAUGGUAGUGGUGAAGAGUGGUACGGGGCCAGAGAAAUCUGACGAGGGACCAGGGGAUCUGACAACAGGCAGUGAGGCCUGCCUGGGGUUGCUGUCUGUAACCAGACUGCCGGGAUCCAGAGAAUGCCGCGAACCGUUGUAGAUUAUCACAGAUCGUCACUGACCAUCACAGAGGACCAUCUGCCAUCAUCUCCAUCCAUCCAGAAACUUUCAGAGACUGUUUCUACUCUACAGUAUAUCCAUGAACUGAGUUUGUGUACAAACAUUUCACAAUGUCAAAGCCAGCAGGUGAUGGGGAAGUCGCCCCUGGUGAAGAGGGUAACCCUGUAGUUGACUUACAGUCACAGAUUGCAGAGCUAAAAAGGAAACAUGACGAAGCAAUGGCAACUAUUGCCGCUCUGGUUAAUGGAUCCACAAAGGCAUGCGUGUCUGUACUAGAGGUCGACCGAUUAAUCGGAAUGGCCGAUUAAUUAGGGCCGAUUUCAAGUUUUCAUAACAAUCGGUAAUCGGUAUUUUUGGCAACAGAUUUGCCGAAUAUUUUAUUUUGUUUGAUUUUUAUUUUUUAAACAUUUUUUUUAACUAGGCAAGUCAGUUAAGAACACAUUCUUAUUUUCAAUGACGGCCUAGGAACGGUGGGUUAACUGCCUUGUUCAGGGGCAGAACGACAGAUUUUUACCUUGUCAGCUUGGGGAUUCAAUCUUGCAACCUUACUAGUCCAAUGCUCUAACCACCUGCUUUACUGGGUACUGGUAAAUACAACACAACAAACUAACAGCAUAACUCAUCACACACAGCUGUCUGUGCGGGUCGCUACAAUAUUUACUUAUUAUUCAUUACCAAGUGAAAAUACCUUCAAACAAAAGACGAACUUCUACUUUAGUCAACUUUAUUGCAACAUGAAAAAAUCCCUUAAAUCUCUUACAAAAUAAGGAUUUUUAUUGUUAGAUAUUUUGAUUAAUUAGAUUAAACAAAGAUAUAGACCUACUCAAUAACAUCUGUAGCCCAUAGUAUGGUGAGUAGCCUAGAUCGCUAAUUAUUUUUCUUCUCUUUUUAAUAUUACAAGUAACAAUGAAAAUCACCAACUCUGACUCUGUCUUAAUCUGUUUCUUUCUUCUAAGCAUUUUUCCAUCCUGGAGUCUGAGACCUUGUGGGAAUCUGGUAGACAAGAAGAAUGUAUGACAAUUUAGCAUAGCAUUACCCCUAAUUAUCAUCAUCAUGAUUUCUGUGGUUUAGGCAUAUAGCUAGCUAGUUGUGUUAUCCAGCUAGCAAUAAUAGUGUGCUUGCUAAAAACAAAGAUUUUAUAACUAACCCAUGAUAGACCAGAGCCUGUCGUUUCCAAUGGGAGCAAAUGAAUCAUAGUGGACAGAGAGAUCCUAUUGGUGCGUUCUAGCAUUUAUUUCCGUUAGGCAACACCUACUCUGUGAAGUGUGCGUGUGCAACAAAACAUUUUUAAACUUUGGCAAACUCAGUCCACUCUGUUUGUUACAGAUUAGCGUUUUGGAAACAGAAAGCUGUAUGGAGAUCAAAUGUUUCAUCAAUGAGAAAAUGUAUUUCGAGAGUGUUGUGCAGAUGGGCAUCUCUUGACAUGAUGCCAUAAUAAAUAAUUGCACCAAUGCAUCCCAUCCAAAAGUGAGAAUGUUCCUCAACAGUGAAACUCUUGCAAGGUUAUAUGAUGGAAUAAAAGUUUUUCUUGUGA